AGAAGUAUGGAGGAGUUUGGGUCUGGUGCAAAGAUAGGGACAAGAUCUUAAGAGAUUGUCUAUCAAGGCUUCAUGAGAGUUUAGAGAAGUCUAGAAGUAUCAUGAAGGCUGUGCAAAGAUAGGGUUUAAGUCCAGGAGGGACUUAGACACCAUUUGGAGAUAGUUGGGUGAUGGUGCAAAGAUAGGGCGUCCCAAGGUUCAGACGGUACGGAUGAACCGUGCAAACUUAGGGCGACCCAGAACCUGAUCACACUCAACCAUUGGAGAUGUUUUGGUGAGAUGUGCAAACUUAGGGCGAGGUACGGACAGGCGGUCCGUACCUUCGUCCGUACUUGUUCCGGAUCAAGCUGAAAUGAAGCUGUGCAAACUUAGGGCGCAAGAGAAGACAAACCUGAGUUAUCUUGUGACUAUUUGUGGAUAAGGGACAGCUAGGGCGUGGUCAAUGACAGGCUGUCUUUGAGCUGUAAAGGAAAAGCAGCCUUGACCAUGUAUCUAGCCAUCUUUGUGAAAAAGGUUCAUGGGAGCUUUAAGGGAACCAAUCAGGAGCCAGCCCUUGCCUUGACCAGUUUGAAUCAACCAAUCACCAGCCAGCAUUCUCUACUCCAAUCAGAUCAAUUCACUCAGAUUGCAAACAAGAAAACUCCAUCCUAGCCAUCCAUUCAUCUCAAGUCAUUUCUAUCCAUUAGAUUAAGGGUUUAUGAUUUUACAAAGUGUAAAGCCUAUAUAAAGGCUAUCAUGGACGUUUUGUAACUCUCUUAAGAGAGAGAGGGGGAUUUCCCCUCCUCCUUCAUAAUACAAAGUGUGUUCUUGGAUAAGAAUCCCUCAAACUACCCCUUUCUUAUACUUAAAUCUCUUAAUCUCUCUAAAUCUCUUGUUUCUGUCCAAGUUCAUACUGUUCUUCAUCAGACCUUUCUCUCUUCAGUUCAAGCUCUCAUUUCGCCCUUAGUGGCUUGUUCUCACACACACAGCCUGAGCUCUGAAAACCUAACAUGGUAUCAGAGCCAGGUUCAUCAGAACUUGGUUCCAGCUUCCGCAUAUACAUCACAAGUCUAGCCUCAUCACAGAUCCAAACCAUUGAAGAUGUCCAGCCUGUUCUCUCUCUUCAAGAAGAAGGUGUUUGAAGCUAUGGUGGUGUCUCCUGGUCGUUCCUCCUCUCUCCAGUCCAUUAAAGGCGUGUCUCAACUCUGUCCCAAGCUGAAACCCUUCAAGAAGAAAGCUCUCAUCUUGUUCCUGAAGUUGGAGACUUGGAGCUGUGAAGAAAGGUGGAACCUUUUGUGUUGUGGUUUCAAGAAGGAGGUUAUGAACACAAAGAGAAGGUGUUGGGUGACGAUCCAGCUCUCUUAUCCACCAGAUUCGUGGCCUAUUACCAAGGUGGCUCAAGGAACCAGCUCAGGUUCCUUGGUUGUAAGCUAAUCCUAAACCUUCUUGAUAUGAGCUUGUGAUUGAAACAGGUUGUUGUGUUGUGAUGUGAUUAAAUGAACCUGAGGAUAUGUUUAAGAUUGCUAAAUGAAAUGAAAUGAUUUAGAAUCUGUCCCAGGAUGCUAUUGAGUGUUGUUUGAUGUUGAGAAAUGAAAUGCUUAGCCUGAUUUGGUUAUGAUUGUUCUAGGAUGUUAGAAACUGUCUAAAUCCUAUUAGCUUUCAUUAAACUGAAAUCACUUAAGGUUUUGCAUUGUCUGAUGUUGAUUGAUGAUUAAUAUUGCUUUGCCUCAGUUAUAAGUGAAGUGUGUUAGGAUAAUAGAAAGCAUUGGCUGAUCCUGCUGCAUACAUGAGCUAGAAACUGAUUAAGGUCACAGCAUAUUGUCAUCUUGUUGCUGCCUUAACAUUGAGCACAUAGAUGGAUGUCUAUGAUUGCGGAUUAAGGCAGGGUUGAUUGCCUAAGUAGCUUGUCUUGAAUCUGAUUUGAUCUUGCUUGUACCUAGAGAGAUUGCUUGCAAAGAUGUGAACUUGAUAAUUCUUGUUUCAAUCUGUUGCAUAGCUUGUGACAUUGGAGAUCAAACUUGAUGAUUAGUCAAGGAUUGAUCCCAAUGCUUAUGUCUUAUCUUUGCUGGAGUUUGAGUGGUGUUUCAGGUUCACAAGAUGUGCUCUCUGUCCAUCACCAAUCCGAGCAGAAGAGGAAGAAGACUUUACCCAUUGGGAAUGGUCGUUGUGGUAUAUGUGUGGAUACACAAGGCGAGUGGUCAUCACCUAAGUCUGGAGGAGACCGGUGACCAGAAGGCAUUGGAGAUAAAGGGAAGGGUUGAUCAGUGGUUGAAGCGCACUCUAUGAGAUGUUACGCUCCUGAUCUUAAGGCUCAUUGAGGCUCACUUCAAGCUUGGACCCAUACUCAAUCCAAGCUUGAGGAGGGGAGCAAAGUGAGCCACCUGAUGAUCCUGUUGCUCAAUGACCUGUGUUACUCAAGGUCAUUGCAAGCUGAUCAUGGAGUGAUUCAGCCAAAGUAGAGGGAAGAAGAAGGUCACUCAACAAGGCGUGUGAGGUGCUUGGAGAGUGGGCUGAUGUAUCUCCUCAGUGCAAUGAUGAUGUAGUGGAGGUUCAAGCAUCAAGUCCGAAGGAGAUGGAUGUGCUUUCCACAAGGCGUAUCAUGGAGCUAUCAUGCGCUCACCAUCAAGCUUGGACCUUCCCUAUACUUGGUCUCAAGCUUGAGGGGGAGUGUGGAUGAGCUUGCAUGAUCAGAGAAGGAGCUGUUAAGCUCAGCAAGUGAGGGACUCAAGUGCCAUGUGAAGAGCAGCCAGUCCUCACCAUUUAUACAAGGGAGUAAACCUGAUCUCUAUCUCUUUAUAUACAUUCAUGAUAGGUUUAUCUCUUGAGAACUGAUACACUUGUUGAAUGAUGUAUCAGGUACCUUACUUGGAUUCUCAAUGAAGAGGGCGUGAUCUUACCUGAUGGAGAUGGCGAGAAGCCAUGAGAGAAGGGAAGACACAAACGGAGUUUAAGAAGAAGUCCAAGAAGAGUGGUGGAGUGAAGAGGCCGUGAUCCAGAGCCUAUGUGCCUAAACCUCAGUGAUACUAAGGCACAUAGGCUCACUGGCCAAUCCCUAGGCCUUGGAGGCUCUACUCUUUUUCCCUCAGCAAGGUUUUGUCCCAAAGGGUUUUCCUUGGUGAGGUUUUUAAUGAGGGAGUUCUUCAAGGUUCCAAGCUUGACUUAGGAUCACCUAGAGUCAAGCUUGAGGGGGAGUGUUGACUUGAAGAAAGAAAUGGAGCCAUAGGAGAAGUAUGGAGGAGUUUGGGUCUGGUGCAAAGAUAGGGACAAGAUCUUAAGAGAUUGUCUAUCAAGGCUUCAUGAGAGUUUAGAGAAGUCUAGAAGUAUCAUGAAGGCUGUGCAAAGAUAGGGUUAAAGUCCAGGAGGGACUUAGACACCAUUUGGAGAUAGUUGGGUGAUGGUGCAAAGAUAGGGCGUCCCGAGGUUCAGACGGUACGGAUGAACCGUGCAAACUUAGGGCGACCCAGAACCUGAUCACACUCAACCAUUGGAGAUGUUUUUGUGAGAUGUGCAAACUUAGGGCGAGGUACGGACAGGCGGUCCGUACCUUCGUCCGUACUUGUUCCGGAUCAAGCUGAAAUGAAGCUGUGCAAACUUAGGGCGCAAGAAAAGACAAACCUGAGUUAUCUUGUGACUAUUUGUGGAUAAGGGACAGCUAGGGCGUGGUCAAUGACAGGCUGUCUUUGAGCUGUAAAGGAAAAGCAGCCUUGACCAUGUAUCUAGCCAUCUUUGUGAAAAAGGUUCAUGGGAGCUUUAAGGGAACCAAUCAGGAGCCAGCCCUUGCCUUGACCAGUUUGAAUCAACCAAUCACCAGCCAGCAUUCUCUACUCCAAUCAGAUCAAUUCACUCAGAUUGCAAACAAGAAAACUCCAUCCUAGCCAUCCAUUCAUCUCAAGUCAUUUCUAUCCAUUAGAUUAAGGGUUUAUGAUUUUACAAAGUGUAAAGCCUAUAUAAAGGCUAUCAUGGACGUUUUGUAACUCUCUUAAGAGAGAGAGGGGGAUUUCCCCUCCUCCUUCAUAAUACAAAGUGUGUUCUUGGAUAAGAAUCCCUCAAACUACCCCUUUCUUAUACUUAAAUCUCUUAAUCUCUCUAAAUCUCUUGUUUCUGUCCAAGUUCAUACUGUUCUUCAUCAGACCUUUCUCUCUUCAGUUCAAGCUCUCAUUUCGCCCUUAGUGGCUUGUUCUCACACACACAGCCUGAGCUCUGAAAACCUAACAUGGUAUCAGAGCCAGGUUCAUCAGAACUUGGUUCCAGCUUCCGCAUAUACAUCACAAGUCUAGCCUCAUCACAGAUCCAAACCAUUGAAGAUGUCCAGCCUGUUCUCUCUCUUCAAGAAGAAGGUGUUUGAAGCUAUGGUGGUGUCUCCUGGUCGUUCCUCCUCUCUCCAGUCCAUUAAAGGCGUGUCUCAACUCUGUCCCAAGCUGAAACCCUUCAAGAAGAAAGCUCUCAUCUUGUUCCUGAAGUUGGAGACUUGGAGCUGUGAAGAAAGGUGGAACCUUUUGUGUUGUGGUUUCAAGAAGGAGGUUAUGAACACAAAGAGAAGGUGUUGGGUGACGAUCCAGCUCUCUUAUCCACCAGAUUCGUGGCCUAUUACCAAGGUGGCUCAAGGAACCAGCUCAGGUUCCUUGGUUGUAAGCUAAUCCUAAACCUUCUUGAUAUGAGCUUGUGAUUGAAACAGGUUGUUGUGUUGUGAUGUGAUUAAAUGAACCUGAGGAUAUGUUUAAGAUUGCUAAAUGAAAUGAAAUGAUUUAGAAUCUGUCCCAGGAUGCUAUUGAGUGUUGUUUGAUGUUGAGAAAUGAAAUGCUUAGCCUGAUUUGGUUAUGAUUGUUCUAGGAUGUUAGAAACUGUCUAAAUCCUAUUAGCUUUCAUUAAACUGAAAUCACUUAAGGUUUUGCAUUGUCUGAUGUUGAUUGAUGAUUAAUAUUGCUUUGCCUCAGUUAUAAGUGAAGUGUGUUAGGAUAGUAGAAAGCAUUGGCUGAUCCUGCUGCAUACAUGAGCUAGAAACUGAUUAAGGUCACAGCAUAUUGUCAUCUUGUUGCUGCCUUAACAUUGAGCACAUAGAUGGAUGUCUAUGAUUGCGGAUUAAGGCAGGGUUGAUUGCCUAAGUAGCUUGUCUUGAAUCUGAUUUGAUCUUGCUUGUACCUAGAGAGAUUGCUUGCAAAGAUGUGAACUUGAUAAUUCUUGUUUCAAUCUGUUGCAUAGCUUGUGACAUUGGAGAUCAAACUUGAUGAUUAGUCAAGGAUUGAUCCCAAUGCUUAUGUCUUAUCUUUGCUGGAGUUUGAGUGGUGUUUCAGGUUCACAAGAUGUGCUCUCUGUCCAUCACAAAUCCGAGCAGAAGAGGAAGAAGACUUUACCCAUUGGGAAUGGUCGCUGUGGUGUAUGUGUGGAUACACAAGGCGAGUGGUCAUCACCUAAGUCUGGAGGAGACCGGUGACCAGAAGGCAUUGGAGAUAAAGGGAAGGGUUGAUCAGUGGUUGAAGCGCACUCUAUGAGAUGUUGCGCUCCUGAUCUUAAGGCUCAUUGAGGCUCACUUCAAGCUUGGACCCAUACUCAAUCCAAGCUUGAGGAGGGGAGCAAAGUGAGCCACCUGAUGAUCCUGUUGCUCAAUGACCUGUGUUACUCAAGGUCAUUGCAAGCUGAUCAUGGAGUGAUUCAGCCGAAGUAGAGGGAAGAAGAAGGUCACUCAACAAGGCGUGUGAGGUGCUUGGAGAGUGGGCUGAUGUAUCUCCUCAGUGCAAUGAUGAUGUAGUGGAGGUUCAAGCAUCAAGUCCGAAGGAGAUGGAGGUGCUUUCCACAAGGCGUAUCAUGGAGCUAUCAUGCGCUCACCAUCAAGCUUGGACCUUCCCUAUACUUGGUCUCAAGCUUGAGGGGGAGUGUGGAUGAGCUUGCAUGAUCAGAGAAGGAGCUGUUAAGCUCAGCAAGUGAGGGACUCAAGUGCCAUGUGAAGAGCAGCCAGUCCUCACCAUUUAUACAAGGGAGUAAACCUGAUCUCUAUCUCUUUAUAUACAUUCAUGAUAGGUUUAUCUCUUGAGAACUGAUACACUUGUUGAAUGAUGUAUCAGGUACCUUACUUGGAUUCUCAAUGAAGAGGGCGUGAUCUUACCUGAUGGAGAUGGCGAGAAGCCAUGAGAGAAGGGAAGACACAAACGGAGUUUAAGAAGAAGUCCAAGAAGAGUGAUGGAGUGAAGAGGCCGUGAUCCAGAGCCUAUGUGCCUAAACCUCAGUGAUACUAAGGCACAUAGGCUCACUGGCCAAUCCCUAGGCCUUGGAGGCUCUACUCUUUUUCCCUCAUCAAGGUUUUGUCCCAAAGGGUUUUCCUUGGUGAGGUUUUUAAUGAGGGAGUUCUUCAAGGUUCCAAGCUUGACUUAGGAUCACCUAGAGUCAAGCUUGAGGGGGAGUGUUGACUUGAAGAAAGAAAUGGAGCCAUAGGAGAAGUAUGGAGGAAUUUGGGUCUGGUGCAAAGAUAGGGACAAGAUAUUAAGAGAUUGUCUAUCAAGGCUUCAUGAGAGUUUAGAGAAGUCUAGAAGUAUCAUGAAGGCUGUGCAAAGAUAGGGUUUAAGCCCAGGAGGGACUUAGACACCAUUUGGAGAUAGUUGGGUGAUGGUGCAAAGAUAGGGCGUCCCGAGGUUCAGACGGUACGGAUGAACCGUGCAAACUUAGGGCGACCCAGAACCUGAUCACACUCAACCAUUGGAGAUGUUUUGGUGAGAUGUGCAAACUUAGGGCGAGGUACGGACAGGCGGUCCGUACCUUCGUCCGUACUUGUUCCGGAUCAAGCUGAAAUGAAGCUGUGCAAACUUAGGGCGCAAGAGAAGACAAACCUGAGUUAUCUUGUGACUAUUUGUGGAUAAGGGACAGCUAGGGCGUGGUCAAUGACAGGCUGUCUUUGAGCUGUAAAGGAAAAGCAGCCUUGACCAUGUAUCUAGCCAUCUUUGUGAAAAAGGUUCAUGGGAGCUUUAAGGGAACCAAUCAGGAGCCAGCCCUUGCCUUGACCAGUUUGAAUCAACCAAUCACCAGCCAGCAUUCUCUACUCCAAUCAGAUCAAUUCACUCAGAUUGCAAACAAGAAAACUCCAUCCUAGCCAUCCAUUCAUCUCAAGUCAUUUCUAUC
rnacentral:lncRNA from 1 species